rnacentral:rRNA from 1 species
AUUGAACGCUGGCGGCAGGCCUAACACAUGCAAGUCGAGCGGAGCGGCGGACGGGUGAGUAAGGCCUAGGAAUCUGCCUGGUAGAGGGGGCUAACGUCCGGAAACGGGCGCUAAUACAGCAUACUAUCAGAUGAGCCUAGGUUGGAUUAGCUAGUUGGUGGGGUAAAGGCCUACCAAGGCGACGAUCCGUAACUGGUCUGAGAGGGUGAUCAGUCACACUGGAACGGAGACACGGUCCAGACUCCUACGGGAGGCAGCAGUGGGGAAUAUUGGGCAAUGGGCGAAAGCCUGAUCCAGCCAUGCCGCGUGUGUGAAGAAGGUCUUCGGAUUGUAAAACUCUUUUAGUUGGGAAGCGGUACCAACAGAGUAAGCCCCGGCUAACUUCGUGCCAGCAGCCGCGGUAAUAC